GAUGAAGAACGUAGCGAAAUGCGAUAAGUAAUGUGAAUUGCAGAAUUCAGUGAAUCAUCGAAUCUUUGAACGCACAUUGCGCCCGCCAGUAUUCUGGCGGGCAUGCCUGUCCGAGCGUCAUUUCAACCCUCGAACCCCUCCGGGGGGUCGGCGUUGGGGACCUCGGGAGCCCCUAAGACGGGAUCCCGGCCCCGAAAUACAGUGGCGGUCUCGCCGCAGCCUCUCCUGCGCAGUAGUUUGCACAACUCGCACCGGGAGCGCGGCGAGUCCACGUCCGUAAAACACCCAACUUCUGAAAUGUUGACCUCGGAUCAGGUAGGAAUACCCGCUGAACUUAAGCAUAUCAAUAAGCGGAGGA
rnacentral:misc_RNA from 1 species